CCCUUAGAUGUUCUGGGCUGCACACGCGCUACACUGAAGGGAUCAGCGUGUUCUUUUCCUGGUCCGAAAGGAUCGGGUAACCCGCUGAACCCCCUUCGUGGUAGGGAUCGGAGCUUGCAAUUAUUCUCCGUGAACCAGGAAUUCCCAGUAAGCGCAAGUCAUAAGCUUGCGUUGAUUACGUCCCUGCCCUUUGUACACACCGCCCGUCACUACUACCGAUUGGACGUUUUAGUGAGGAUUUUGGACUGAGCCAAUGGUGGUUCACACCACUGUUGUGCAUGGAAAGAUCUCCAAACUUGAGCGUUUAGAGGAAGUAAAAGUCGUAACA
rnacentral:rRNA from 1 species